GAGAGAGAGAGAGAGAGAGAGAGAGAGAGAGAGACUUUGAGAGUGAGCUCCACAGAGAAGACGAAGAGAAGGAUAAGAAACGGGAGAAGAACUAGAAUUGAAGGCCAUUCCUCCAUAAUUUGUUCACUUUAGGUCGGAUGCCAAACCAUUACCACGUGUUUUUCAGGAGCCUAUUUUGAUCGAGCAUCAGAUCAAACCUAGUGGCGUCGACCCGAACCGUUGUUUUGUCAAGCCAGCUAUUGUGUCUCAUCGUGAGGUUCCAAACCAACUUGUAUCGAGGCUUUUUGGGGUGAUCUAAAUCCACCAUUUUUUAAUGUUGUUUGGAGUUAAAUGAAUUUUUUAUGACUUUUGUUAAGACUGUUUUUGAUAAUGGGAUUUAAAUCCCUAACUUGUGUUUUGUCUUGUAUAUAUGUGUUUUAUGGACAUAAGUGUUUGUAGAUAUAACUAUGUAUAUGAAAGUUUAUUUUCAUUCA